AAGAACAAAGGCAAAAAGGAAGAGAACAAACUCUAGGUGAAGAAUUUCAAGAGAAAAAGUGUGAAAAAUCAAGGAAAACAAGUGAAAAAGGUAAAAUUUCUAAAUUUAAACUUGAAAUCUAUUUUCCUUAAGCAUGUCUCCUUAUUUUUCAUGGUUAGAUUUCAUGAUUUCAUAGUGAAUUCAUGGCUGAUCAAAAUGGGUAUGGAGAGAGAAUGAUGUUGGAUUGAUUUGAUUCUAAGUUAUGUUAGUGUUUUUAAUUAGUUUAUUAUGUCUAGAAACAAAACAACAAGAAAAGAAUUCAUUUUCCCCAUCACCCAUCAAUGGCCGAAUUUUCUAGGGAGGAUAUUGUGGCUGAAAUUAAUGAUGUUUCAUGAUAUUUUGGUGAUAUUUGAUGUUUGGUGAGGCUGAAAAUUAAAUGAGAAAUUUUGGUGUGAAAAUCUGAAUUUUUGCUCAACGAAUAGACAUGUGUGAUUAUUGACCCGAGAUUGAUAAAUUGAAUCUCAUUCACAGUCACUGAGGUAAUUUAGGUAUAAUUGGAGUGUAGAAAGUGAGAAGAAUUGAUUUGGAGUUAAAUUGGAGAUUUUAGCCGAUUAGACCGAGUAUAGUGUGACUUAGGUCGAAUAUCACAUUUAAGCGAUUAAUCGGACAUUUUGCAUUCCAUAUCAUGCAUUAGUAGUCUAAAUUAGUUUAAUUUUGAUUUAGUACCAAUGUAGUAAGUUUCUCGAUUUUGUACUGUGUCAAGGUGGUGAGUCCUCUGAUAAAGGCAAGAAAAUUGCACCCGAGAACCAGUAGUAUGAGUACUUCAAAAAUUCACACUCUAAACAUUGUGAGUAACCUUAUCAUCAUUUUAAUUAUCUAAAGUAUGUUUUAAUUCGGUUUUGGUGAAAUUUUAUGAAAAUGAGUUAAAUGGUUAAUUUUAGGUUUUAUAAACAAAAUGUGUUUAAAUGAAAAGAUUUUAUAAAUUGUCUUGAAACUGAAUGAUGAUUUUGAAAAGAGUAAUUGGAGACCACUUGUUAUGUUGUAAAAUUUAUGAUUUGAAUAAAUGGCUUAUGACAAUAUUUGCAUGAAUGGCUGAAUUGGUAUUUGUGUUGAAAUAUAUGAAAUGUGUAUUUAGCCUUGAAAGGUUGUGAAUUACAAUAAUUACCAUAUCAUGUUAUUGAAUUUUAUUGUAUGGUGGGUUUAGCUUGCUGCAGUGGGCGAGUUUCUGUGGACCAGCCUAUUAGAGGGGUACAGUAAACCCCUUUAUAUUUUACCUCAGUUAGAGAGGCGAGUAGGGUA
rnacentral:lncRNA from 1 species